CCACUUACCUGGCAGGGGAGAGACCGUGGUCACGAAGGGGGUCCUCCCAGAGUGAAGCUUCUUCAUCGCGCUCUAGAGUUGCUGAUCCCUGUGAUUUCCUGAAUGUGGGAAACCGUGUUUGUGCCGGAAGAGGGCUGCGCUCUUU
rnacentral:snRNA from 1 species